rnacentral:rRNA from 1 species
AGUGAACGCUGGCGGUAGGCCUAACACAUGCAAGUCGAACGGCAGCACAGUAAGAGCUUGCUCUUACGGGUGGCGAGUGGCGGACGGGUGAGGAAUACAUCGGAAUCUACUUUUUCGUGGGGGAUAACGUAGGGAAACUUACGCUAAUACCGCAUACGACCUACGGGUGAAAGCAGGGGAUCUUCGGACCUUGCGCGAUUGAAUGAGCCGAUGUCGGAUUAGCUAGUUGGCGGGGUAAAGGCCCACCAAGGCGGCGAUCCGUAGCUGGUCUGAGAGGAUGAUCAGCCACAGUGGAACUGAGACACGGCCCAGACUCCUACGGGAGGCAGCAGUGGGGAAUAUUGGACAAUGGGCGCAAGCCUGAUCCAGCCAUACCGCGUGGGUGAAGAAGGCCUUCGGGUUGUAAAGCCCUUUUGUUGGGAAAGAAAAGCAGCAGGUUAAUACCCCGCUGUUCUGACGGUACCCAAAGAAUAAGCACCGGCUAACUUCGUG